UCUACUGUUAACUUGGUUUUGCAAAAUCCUCCUCUGCUUCGAUGCUCAUCCUCAACUAUCUGCUCAAAGCUCCAUCUCUAAGGUAAGUGUUUAAUUGUUCUUCCUCUUUUCUUUAGAUCGAUGGAAUGAGCUUCUAAGAAGCUAAUACCACCAUCAGAUCAAAAGAAUCGAUUUAGAAACAAUACAAAUUGACCUUAUGAUGCCAAUAGGUUUCCAAGUCUUAAUAGUUAGAGCUACAUAUCGGAAUUGGUGGAUCUAUUGUUUGGAUACUCCUACCAUUAGCACCCCAAGGUCUCACUGGGUGUAGGUGUUUGCAUCCAAUGGAAUCACUCCGAACAGUAGGUAUCACCUUUUCCUUUAUUGUAACUCCUUACUCUAAUGUUACAACGGAACCCAGUGCACAAAUUAACUUCUUUGCAUCAUGUUUUCGAUGUUGUCUGUGAAGCAAACUUUGUAAACAUGGUCAAUGUUCUACGUCUCGAUUCAAACCAUCUGCAACAUUUUCCAGUAAGUCCAAUGGUUUCCACUCUAUAUUCCUCUUUUAUCAAAUUUUAAGUCAAUGGAGUGAGCUUUUUAAGCUAAUACCACCAAUCGAUCAAAACGUUUCAAGGGGAGAGUGUUUGAUAACCAUUUGAAUUUUGUUGCAGGAUUUACUAACAGAAACACUGAGAUCACCAACUAACGGAUGUAAAUGCCCAUAAACAGGAACUUCCAACAUCUAUAGUAAGUUACCCUACUGUUACUGUUUUGCAUAACCCGUUACAAAAAUAUUGUUGUAUCUUCCUUGAAUUCUGAUAUCAUGAUUCUUGAUUGGAUCUUCUGAUGUGUGGUGUUCCUUCUUUAUCUAAAUUUAGUAUCCUUCUUUCUGUUGUUGGAAUUUCACCAAAGUAAUUAAAUUGAAAAUCACCUGCAAAAUCAAAAACUAGGUUAGUAAAAAAAUCAGCGAGAGCUCUUAUGGAGUUGACCUCCAUUGUCA
rnacentral:lncRNA from 1 species